ACCAUACACUAGCAGAUGCUGAACAGACUUUGAAAAGACUGACACCAUCUCACAUCUGAAGACAAUCAUCUCACAUCUAACGUUGAAGACUUCUGUCAUAAUAUGUAAAGAGUGGGGAUCUUGCAGGGUCACACAUUGCAAGACUACAACUAGAUUACUUUUGAAAAAUUUAACCAAGCUAGCUAGCUACACUAGCGUUAGCUGGUAACUUAAGGGAAAGUCUGCUAAAUUUCUGUGCUUACAGUACUCAGUUGUCUGUGUACAUCUGCCGGUAAAACUCCCGUUGGAUGACUCCUUUCAGAAGGGUUGAAAAUCAGCAACUUUCCCUCUUUAGCGCUUAGCUUAGCACGACGCCAUAGCAA